rnacentral:rRNA from 1 species
AACGAACGCUGGCGGCGUGCUUAACACAUGCGAGUCGAACGGAAAGGCCCUGCUUUUGUGGGGUGCUCGAGUGGCGAACGGGUGAGUAACACGUGAGUAACCUGCCCUUGACUUUGGGAUAACUUCAGGAAACUGGGGCUAAUACCGGAUAGGAGCUCCUGCUGCAUGGUGGGGGUUGGAAAGUUUCGGCGGUUGGGGAUGGACUCGCGGCUUAUCAGCUUGUUGGUGGGGUAGUGGCUUACCAAGGCUUUGACGGGUAGCCGGCCUGAGAGGGUGACCGGCCACAUUGGGACUGAGAUACGGCCCAGACUCCUACGGGAGGCAGCAGUGGGGAAUAUUGCACAAUGGGCGGAAGCCUGAUGCAGCAACGCCGCGUGCGGGAUGACGGCCUUCGGGUUGUAAACCGCUUUCGCCUGUGACGAAGCGUGAAUGACGGUAAUGGGUAAAGAAGCACCGGCUAACUACGUG